rnacentral:rRNA from 1 species
AGACCGGUCUACUGGUCGUGCUUUUGUACGUACUGGUUUUAUUGGUUUCUCCUUUCUGACGAACGAUAAUGCCAUUAAUUUGGUGUUUUGGGGAAUCAGGACUGUUACUUUGAAAAAUUUAGAGUGUUUAAAGCAGGCUCACGCUUGAAUACAUUAGCAUGGAAUAACGGAAUAGGACGUUUGAUUUUAUUUUGUUGGUUUCUAGGAUCGACGUA